GAAAUGCGAUAAGUAGUGUGAAUUGCAGACUUUAGUGAAUCAUCGAAUCUUUGAACGCACAUUGCGCCCCUUGGUAUUCCAUUGGGCAUGCCUGUUCGAGCGUCAUUUACACCCUCAAGCUAUGCUUGGUGUUGGGCGUCUGUCCGCGCUUCCCGCGCGGACUCGCCCCAAAUCCAUUGGCAGCGGCAUCGCCGGCUUCUCGCGCAGCACAUUGCGCUUUAGAAGAAUACGGCGGGCUUGCGUCCAUGAAGAACCCCAUCAGUUUGACCUCGAAUCAGGUAGGGAUACCCGCUGAACUUAA
rnacentral:misc_RNA from 1 species